CUUUACGGUGGGCGCUGCGCGGAGACCGCCAGGCCUGCCGGCUCCCUGUGAUCGGUCUGCUAACCGCGCAUCGUCCGCCACCUCG
rnacentral:antisense_RNA from 1 species